CUUAUCUGGAAUGCAGAUGAUCUAGAAAGAGGAACAUGCCACUCAGAAGAACUGAGAGUAGAAAUGUUUAUAAAGUGUGAAAUUAAAAAUGUCCGGAUUAUCUUGAUGUCAAAAUCGUUUAAAUACGACUUAGUGUUCUGUAGGAACAAUAGUGGAAACAUCGACUGCCACUAUAUAGUAGAUUCAAACGUGAAAAGUUUUCAUAACAGCAGUAGUGGACAUUUAGUAUUUUGACGCAAUUUAAUUAUACUCACCACGCAGGAAAAAGACUAUGGGUAAACACCACCUGCCAAAAUAACGAAACGACACAGGAGAGCACUCUGCUAAAGCCAUGUGUCAGAGAUUUUAGAACGACAGCCUACCAUAACCACUCACAUGUAACAAUUUCAUGCGAGCAUGAAUCAUACAAAAUGUCGGAGAGUGGUAUACGCAUUGUAAGCAUAGACGAUUUGGAACAUUGCCGAUGGAACAGAUUUAAUGAAAAAAAUAAUUGCUUUGGAGAAGCCCAAGCUCUAGAAAAUGGUUUUAAGCUCACCAUCCCAUAUACAGCCGAUAUGAACAUAACCUGCAAAAUCGACGGACAGUCGGUAAAUAUCGAAGUUGAAGAGCACAUAACAUCAACGCCUUCAACAACGACAGUAACGAAUUCAACAACGCCUGUUACAACUUAUGACACGGUUGUGUUAAGCACGACCCCUCCGUAUGACUCAACACUAAAAGUUUUCACAAUUACAAUACAAGCAUCAUCUUUCA